rnacentral:tRNA from 2 species
GCGGAAAUAGCUCAGUUGGUAGAGCAUAACCUUGCCAAGGUUAGGGUCGCGAGUUCGAGUCUCGUUUUCCGCUCC